CAAAUUACCAGUUAUCCGAAUUACCACUUGUGGAGCCGUUGGCAGGACAGGUCCCAACAAAAUGCAAUGCGCAGAGAAAUAUAAUAGAACUGAUGUAGAAUUGAUUGUACCGUCGCCGAUAUCAGAACAGGGAGACAUGCCGGUUUUUUAUUUGAAUGGAGUCCAACGGUGGACUGCGUCACGCGGUGAAUACUACACUUUGAUCGGCUUUGGUGCGAAAGGAGGAAAGGGCGCUACUGAUCCGAGUAACUCCAGCUCCAUGGGUGCCCUUGCUCAAGGUGUGAUAGAAUUACAGAAGGGCGAUCAGCUGUAUUUUAUGGUGGGUCAAGCGGGAGCAGAUGCACGUCCCAAAAACAUCGGAUCAAAAAUAGUCAAUUCUACAUCGGCUCCACCACAUGGAUCUAUACCACCACAUAACACUCAUACCACAUCAAAAGUGCGAGAAGUGAAAAACACGGAGUUUGAAAACGGCGGCGGGGGCGGUGGUGGUGCAACUACCAUUUUCACAUUAAAAGCCAAUGGAGAGCUGGUACCGAUCUUAAUUGCGGCGGGUGGCGGUGGUUUGGGAUUGGGUCAUUUUGCGGACAAUGGGCUACAGCACGGCCGUGGCCCCAUUCCCGCCGGUAGACUCUUACCUCCUUCAUCUGAGGUUUCAAAUAGCACAGGCGGCCCCGGUGCCAAUUGGAAUGGUUCGUGGACUAACGAUUCCGAUCGACAAAAUAUUGCGGGAAUGCCGUUGAUUCGUGGAGGUGUGGGAGGACUUGGUUGUGACUCUGGAAAGGAAGAUUACGGUAAUGGAGGCUUCGGCGGAGGUGGAGGUGGUUGCCAUACAGGAGGCGGUGGAGGUGGUUACAUUGGCGGUAAAACUGGACACACAGACUCUGGAAACGGCGAAGGUGGUUACUCAUAUAUCAGCCACGAACUCACAAACAUUUAUUUCAAGCCUGCAGCUCAUUCUGGUUUGGGUGAGAUCCUCAUCAUACCCGCGGUCAGUGGUUGCGGUUGUGAUUAUCGUUGCAUCGCUCUUGAUCAAUAUAUGAACAAAACUAAGUGUCUCUGUCCUCAGGGUUGGUUACUUAGCAACGAUUCCAAAUCCUGUAUUAUGACUGACGAUUCGAAGGGUGUACAUCAAAUGUACAUAAUUCCGCUUGUAAUCUUAAUCGCCAGUUUAUUCACCAUUGUGGGAGUUUGCUUAAUAACUUAUAAGCGGUACCAAAAACAGAAAGCGCUUUUGCAACGUCGCCAAAUAAUGUUUGGCAACGGUACAGAGUUGCCGUUAACUGCAUUGCGCGCUGUGUCAAAUACAAUGAGAACUGAAUGCAAUCCCAAUUACGGCUUUACUGGCAAUCCCGACCCCAUCAAAGACUUGCCGCAAAUAUCCCGCGAAUGUAUUACUAUAGGAGAAAGUGUCGGUGAAGGAGCUUUUGGCCGAGUUUACCAAGGCAUGUAUAAAUACAGCAGCGAGGAAUAUCCUGUCGCCGUAAAGAUGCUACCUUUAAAGACACCACAGGCAGAACAUGAUUUCAUAUGUGAAGCAGUGCUAAUGAGUAAAUUUAAUCAUCCUAAUAUAGUACAGUUCAUCGGUGUCUCCUUCGACAAACAUCCAUGGUUUAUUAUCCUUGAGUUAUUGGCUGGAGGCGAUCUCAAGCAGUUCCUACAUGACGAAAGGCCUACAAAAGAUCAUCCUACUACGUCCUUAACGAUGUUGGAUCUCAUUAUGUGUGCCUAUGACGUCGCGAAAGGUUGUAAAUAUAUGGAGGAUGCGCAUUUUAUACAUCGAGACAUUGCUGCUAGAAAUUGUUUGUUAACUACCAGAGCUCCAGGACGUAUCGUUAAGAUUGCUGAUUUCGGUAUGGCUAAGGACAUUUAUCGAAGUGAUUAUUAUAAGAAAGGUACGAAAACAAUAAUGCCCGUAAAGUGGAUGCCACCUGAGAGUUUCAUGGACGGCCUAUUCACUGCAAAAACCGACGUUUGGUCUUUCGGUGUGCUCCUAUGGGAAAUUUUUUCCUUUGGAUAUAUACCCUAUUAUGGAUCUUCGCAUCGUGAGGUCAUGUCGAUGAUAAUGGACGGUGGUCGUCUCGAGAAACCUGUGGGGUGUCCAGAUCCUGUUUAUGGGAUUAUGAUGCGAUGCUGGCAGACAGUACCUGAGGACAGACCAAAUUUUUCCACCAUUGUUGAAAGAAUUGGAUAUUGUUUACAGGACCCUGAUGUGAUAAAUCAUCCGAUGCCUAUGGCGAGUGCAUUGCCAAACCUGGAAACUGAAAUAAUAGUCAGGAGACCAGAUUCGGAUGAAGAAUGCAUUAACAUACAAUCUGAUGUCGAUGAUGGAUCCAGUUACCUGCAGCCCAAGAUCAUCGAUCCCCAACUGGUAGCACAACAUGUGAAUCAAGCUAUGAAUGGUAUCGCUUAUAAUCCAGAGAAUGAAAGAUUCAACAAAGAUCAAAAACUGCACAGCAAAAAUUUUGCAAAAUCAACGGAGCAAAUAACGUGCGGCUCUAGCACAGACAUCUUUAAGCAAAUCUACAGCAACGACAACAAUCAUGAUUGUGAUUGCAACGACGACUUGAUCGCAGAUUGUGAGGACAAACGCGUAAUUAACUGGUCGACUCAACAAAAUAGUAUGAUACAUCGAAGUGAUAACAUCGAAGAUUGCGAUAACAUGGACAAUGGUAAUGAUCGUCCAGAAGAGACUUGCCAUCUGAUUGACAACACCGAUAGCGCGAUAACGGAUCGCAGGAAUGGCAAUGAGAGUACAACGACCACCGACACUAAUUCCGAUUCCCUGAUAGCGCAAUCCUCGGACACUCCACCUGACACGACAACAAACUCGUCACCCAACACGCGCACCUGUUCACCGAGUCGUGCUAUUGGUCUCAAUGUUAAUGUUAACAAUGUGAAUGGUAUGGUAAAGAAGAAUACUUUAAAAGCGACACUGAGCUUGGAUCCAGCCGCUCUCUGCAGAGGCACCAUCCCCUACGAAAAGAUCGCAACGCGCACACAAUUGCGCUCAAGCACACCGGGCAGUAUGGAGCUCAGGAAGGUAACUUGACUUCCUCCCUACAUCCGGCGUCCUGCAUCUGUAGAUGACCAUGGUCCUUGACCAAAGGAUUCCCUGGGCCACGAACUACCGAGAGAAGAGGAGUGCUCUUGCUGAGAUUUAUCUGAGAGGGGUUGACGAGGCUGUCCAAAGGCCGCGGUCAAUUGUUACACUGCUCACCGCCAACGACAGUUGCAACAAUCAGCUACAAUAACUGCGAUUACAAUAGACAUGCAACUUGUAGAACUCUCCUCGUCUUCGUGGACCUAUGACAACGAAUACUCGUAUCGCUCCCAUUCCAAAGAUACUCUUCUGUGAAUGGAAUCUGAAAAACACAAAAUUCCUUAACACGGGUAAUACUUCUUUGACACAAAUCGAGACUGUUUCGUACAAUAUAAGAAAGAUGUAUGAUUGAUUUAUUAAAUCAAAGAAAAUGUUAAACGAACGUUAAGGAAAUCGAAGAGAUUAUUAACCAAGUGUAAUAAACAAAUUAAAAUUAUACAUAGGAGACGAAAGAUACCAAAUACGUAAUUCUAAUAUCCAAUACAUUAAGUCGAGAUGAUCUCAUCCAGUAAAUGUUUUAAUUCCAUGAUGACGAUGAGACAGGAAUUUGUAAAAUUAUUUAGUCAUUCUCGUCACGAGAAGCACUAAUUAAUCAAAGUAAGUAGGUCAAUGUAAAAUCACCAUUAACCCUUUAAGUAUUAAUGAUCUAUAUAUACAGCAAUUAAAAAAUAUUUUUUAUGUAUGGCAUCUUUGCAAAAUUAUGGUAUCCAAAAAUC